GGUAGGAUGGCUGAGGUCAAGCGGCGGAUUGUAGCUCCGUUUACAGAGGUUUGAGUCCUCUUCCUGUCA
rnacentral:tRNA from 1 species